AAGUCGUAACAAGGUUUCCGUAGGUGAACCUGCGGAAGGAUCAUUAAAUUCAGUAGCUUGCUACUGUUAGGGGGGUCUAUUAGUCUGUAUAGUAUCAUUACUGAUGAGCAGCACGACCCUCUGUCUAUACCCUUGUCUUUUGCGCACUCAUGUUUCCUCGGCGGCUUGAUACCCGCCGGCUGGAUCAAUCUAUAACCUUUUUAAUUUUCAAUCAGCGUCUGAAAAACCUAAUAAUUACAACUUUCAACAACGGAUCUCUUGGUUCUG
rnacentral:misc_RNA from 1 species